rnacentral:rRNA from 1 species
UUCGAUUAGAGUUGAUCCUGGCUCAGAUUGAACGCUGGCGGCAUGCCUAACACAUGCAAGUCGAACGGAAACGAUGAAGAGCUUGCUCUUCAGGCGUCGAGUGGCGGACGGGUGCGUAACGCGUAGGAAUCUACCUUAUAGUGGGGGACAACUCGAGGAAACUCGAGCUAAUACCGCAUAAUCCUUACGAGGGAAAGCAGGGGAUCUUCGGACCUUGUGCUAUUAGAUGAGCCUGCGUCGGAUUAGCUAGUUGGUAGGGUAAUGGCCUACCAAGGCAACGAUCCGUAGCUGGUCUGAGAGGACGACCAGCCACACUGGGACUGAGACACGGCCCAGACUCCUACGGGAGGCAGCAGUGGGGAAUAUUGGACAAUGGGCGCAAGCCUGAUCCAGCAAUGCCGCGUGUGUGAAGAAGGCCCUAGGGUUGUAAAGCACUUUCAGUAGGGAAGAAAUGCGUGUAGUUAAUAACUGCGCGUCUUGACGGUACCUACAGAAGAAGCACCGGCUAACUCCGUGCCAGCAGCCGCGGUAAUACGGAGGGUGUAAGCGUUAAUCGGAAUUACUGGGCGUAAAGCGCGCGUAGGCGGUUAUAUAAGUCGGAUGUGAAAGCCCUGGGCUCAACCUGGGAACUGCAUUCGAUACUGUAUAACUAGAGUUUGAUAGAGGGAAGUGGAAUUCCACAUGUAGCGGUGAAAUGCGUAGAUAUGUGGAGGAACACCAGUGGCGAAGGCGACUUCCUGGACCAAAACUGACGCUGAGGUGCGAAAGCGUGGGUAGCAAACAGGAUUAGAUACCCUGGUAGUCCACGCCGUAAACGAUGUCAACUAGCCGUU